rnacentral:miRNA from 1 species
GGUUUCUCUGUGUAGCUCUGCCUGUCCUUGAACUCACUCUGUAGACCAGGCUGGCCUUGAACUCAGAGAUCUGCCGGCCUCUGCCUCCCCAGUGCUGGGAUUAAAGGACUGCACCACCAUGGCCCG